GAGGAGACAGGAGGGAGGUCAGAGACAGACAGAAGGGAGGUCAGAGACAGACAGGAGGGAGGGCAGAGACAGACAGGAGGGAGGUCAGAGACAGACAGGAGGGAGGUCAGAGAGGAGACAGGAGGGAGGUCAGAGACAGACAGAAGGGAGGUCAGAGACAGACAGGAGGGAGGGCAGAGACAGACAGAAGGGAGGUCAGAGAGGAGACAGGAGGGAGGUCAGAGACAGACAGAAGGGAGGUCAGAGACAGACAGGAGGGAGGGCAGAGACAGACAGGAGGGAGGUCAGAGACAGACAGGAGGGAGGUCAGAGAGGAGACAGGAGGGAGGGCAGAGACAGACAGGAGGGAGGUCAGAGAGGAGACAGAAGGGAGGUCAGAGACAGACAGGAGGGAGGUCAGAGACAGACAGAAGGGAGGUCAGAGACAGACAGGAGGGAGGGCAGAGAGGAGACAGGAGGGAGGUCAGAGACAGACAGGAGGGAGGUCAGAGACAGACAGGAGGGAGGUCAGAGAGGAGACAGAAGGGAGGUCAGAGACAGACAGGAGGGAGGGCAGAGACAGACAGGA